GGAUCUGCGGUGGGUACGGGCAGACUAGAGUGCAGUAGGGGAGACUGGAAUUCCUGGUGUAGCGGUGGAAUGCGCAGAUAUCAGGAGGAACACCGAUGGCGAAGGCAGGUCUCUGGGCUGUAACUGACGCUGAGGAGCGAAAGCAUGGGGAGCGAACAGGAUUAGAUACCCUGGUAGUCCAUGCCGUAAACGUUGGGCACUAGGUGUGGGGACCAUUCCACGGUUUCCGCGCCGCAGCUAACGCAUUAAGUGCCCCGCCUGGGGAGUACGGCCGCAAGGCUAAAACUCAAAGGAAUUGACGGGGGCCCGCACAAGCGGCGGAGCAUGCGGAUUAAUUCGAUGCAACGCGAAGAACCUUACCAAGGCUUGACAUGUUCUCGAUCGCCGUAGAGAUACGGUUUCCCCUUUGGGGCGGGUUCACAGGUGGUGCAUGGUUGUCGUCAGCUCGUGUCGUGAGAUGUUGGGUUAAGUCCCGCAACGAGCGCAACCCUCGUUCCAUGUUGCCAGCACGUCGUGGUGGGGACUCAUGGGAGACUGCCGGGGUCAACUCGGAGGAAGGUGAGGACGACGUCAAAUCAUCAUGCCCCUUAUGUCUUGGGCUUCACGCAUGCUACAAUGGCCGGUACAAUGGGUUGCGAUACUGUGAGGUGGAGCUAAUCCCAAAAAGCCGGUCUCAGUUCGGAUUGGGGUCUGCAACUCGACCCCAUGAAGUCGGAGUCGCUAGUAAUCGCAGAUCAGCAACGCUGCGGUGAAUACGUUCCCGGGCCUUGUACACACCGCCCGUCAAGUCACGAAAGUUGGUAACACCCGA
rnacentral:rRNA from 1 species